GGACAAUUUGCCGAUCCCUGCUUUCCAACUGCUGAACUUCAACUCCCAUUAUUUCCAUCCAGGGACAAGCACAUCCAGCCAGAAGGUUCUGAUUCAGGGUGUCAUGGAAAAAUAUUUUCAUUAGAAAUGCCACGUCGCAAUAGACGUAGAAGGCUGAUUGGUGUGAUCUAACCAGGGAAAAUGUGCAAGCAUUUCCUGAAAUUCAGUUGACCCUUCAAAAUCUUCCAGCGCAAGCAAAGCGCAUGACGUCGGACGCAUACGUCUAGACAAGAAACGGAGGGGGGAAUCAUUUCAAGUUACAUUAUGUAUUGUAAUAGCUGUUAAGUGUUAAGAAUUAAGUGUUAAGAAUUAAGUGUUAAGUUUUAAGUGUUAAGUUAUCAAUAAAAAAACAUAAAUAUGUUUAAGAAAAAAAAAAAAAAAAAAAAAAGAG